GAUGAACGCUGGCGGCGUGCUUAACACAUGCAAGUCGAACGAGAAGUCAAGACGGACGCCUUCCUGCGGAAGGCUUUAUUUCGAGUGGCGGCCGGGGGAGUAACUCGCUGGUAACCUGCCACAUCCAGGGGGAUAACAGUUUGAAACGACAGUUUAUACCGCAUCACACCACAGCACCGCAUGGUGCGGGGGUAAAAACUCUGGUGGUAUGAGAUGGACCCGCGUUCGAUUAGCCAGUUGGCGGGGUAACGGCCCACCACAGCGACGAUCGAUAGCCGAGCUGAGAGGAUGACCGGCCACAUUGGGACUGAGACACGGCCCAAACUCCUACGGGAGGCAGCAGUGGGGGAUAUUGCACAAUGGGGGAAACCCUGAAGCAGCGACGCCGCGUGAGUGAAGAAGUAUGUCGAUAUGUAAAGCUCUAGCAGCAGGGCAGAAAAUGACGGUACCUGAGUAAGAAGCCCCGGCUAACUACGUG
rnacentral:rRNA from 1 species